rnacentral:rRNA from 1 species
AGUGAACGCUGGCGGUAGGCCUAACACAUGCAAGUCGAACGGCAGCACAGUAAGAGCUUGCUCUUACGGGUGGCGAGUGGCGGACGGGUGAGGAAUACAUCGGAAUCUACUUUUUCGUGGGGGAUAACGUAGGGAAACUUACGCUAAUACCGCAUACGACCUACGGGUGAAAGCAGGGGAUCUUCGGACCUUGCGCGAUUGAAUGAGCCGAUGUCGGAUUAGCUAGUUGGCGGGGUAAAGGCCCACCAAGGCGACGAUCCGCAGCUGGUCUGAGAGGAUGAUCAGCCACACUGGAACUGAGACACGGUCCAGACUCCUACGGGAGGCAGCAGUGGGGAAUAUUGGACAAUGGGCGCAAGCCUGAUCCAGCCACACCGCGUGGGUGAAGAAGGCCUUCGGGUUGUAAAGCCCUUUUGUUGGGAAAGAACAGCAGCAGGUUAAUACCCCGCUGUUCUGACGGUACCCAAAGAAUAAGCACCGGCUAACUUCGUG